UACAGAGGGUGCAAACGUUGUUCGGAAUUACUGGGCGUAAAGCGCGUGCAGGCGGCCUUGCAAGUCGGACGUGAAAUCCCACGGCUCAACCGUGGAAGUGCAUUCGAAACUGCGAGGCUGGAGUCCUGGAGAGGAAAGUGGAAUACUCGGUGUAGAGGUGAAAUUCGUAGAUAUCCGGAGGAACACCAGUGGCGAAGGCGGCUUUCUGGACACCAACUGACGCUGAGAUGCGAAAGCGUGGGGAGCAAACAGG
rnacentral:rRNA from 1 species